GCAGAAGAAAUAUAACCGCGCCGCCAAUCAAUAAUGACAUUCUUUGGCGGUGAGGAAAAGUCCGGGCUCCGCCGGAAAAAAUGCCGGGUAAUUACCGGGAGAAGAAGGGCAGUUGUAAAUUUUCGCCUUGCGAUUUUUUGCAUAACCCCUUGUUCUACAGACAGCGCAACAGAAAACAAACCGCAAUUUUUGCGCAAGCAAGAGUUGUAAGGGUGAAAAGGCGGCGUAAGAGACCACCGGGCGUUUGGCAACAGACGCCGCAUUGCAAGCCUCAUUUGGAGCAAGGUCAAGAAGCGGCUGUUUUUCCGGGACACAAGCCGCGGGUAGACCGCUAAAAUUUUUAGGCGACUAAAAAUUCGGAUAGAUGGUUAUGGCUUUGUCCUUCUUGGGCAAAGUUGCCAGAACCCGGCUUACAAUUUCUUCUGCUUUU
rnacentral:RNase_P_RNA from 1 species